GAUGAUGAUGAUGAUGUAGACCAUAGCUUCCCAAAGUGGGUGAUAUUACCCACAGGUGGGUGAUUACAACUUACAAGUGAAUGAUGGGCGAAUUUCUAGAAAAUGGUGGGCGAUUUGAGAUUUUGGUGGGUGAUAUGAACAUUUGGUGGGUGGCAA